rnacentral:rRNA from 1 species
UACCAGCACCCCGAGUGGUCGGGACGAUUAUUGGGCCUAAAGCAUCCGUAGCCGGCCUUACAAGUCCUCCGUUAAAUCCAGCUGCUUAACAGAUGGGCUGCGGAGGAUACUAUAAGACUAGGAGGCAGGAGAGGCAAGCGGUACUCAGUGGGUAGGGGUAAAAUCCGUUGAUCCAUCGAAGACCACCAGUGGCGAAGGCGGCUUGCCAGAACGCGCUCGACGGUGAGGGAUGAAAGCUGGGGGAGCAAACCGG